UACGUAGGGUGCGAGCGUUGUCCGGAAUUACUGGGCGUAAAGAGCUCGUAGGUGGUUUGUCGCGUUGUUCGUGAAAACUCACAGCUUAACUGUGGGCGUGCGGGCGAUACGGGCGGACUGGAGGCCAGUAGGGGGAUGCGGAAUUCCGGGUGUAGUGGUGAAAUGCGUAGAUAUCGGGAGGAACACCAGUGGCGAAGGCGACUACCUGGCCUGUUCUUGACGCUGAGGCGCGAAAGCUAGGGGAGCAAACGGG
rnacentral:rRNA from 1 species